UUUUUUUUUUUUUUCCUUUUGGUUCCCUCCUCUUUUCCUUUUCUAUCUCUCUCAAUUUCUCCCCGUCUCUCCCUCUCAAUCUCUGUCCCUCAUAGAUGUUUGAGAGAGUCCAGCCAUUUGGCCAAAUUCUCCCCCCUGCUGUUGGCAGCUGCGUUGUAUCAAAUCUUCAAAUGAAAGCUUCACCUUUGUGAGUCAAAGUCACAAGAGAAAAAUGGUAUGGGGAGCCAUUAUUGCUAUAAAAUCUCUUUCUGCUAACCUUUGAGCCUGAUUAUUCCUGCAUCUGAAGAAGCACAACAAUGUUGCAUCCUUAUUCAUUUGGGCUGUUUAAAAUUCUUGCCUGCUCCAGUAUCUGAAGCUUCAAUUGUUUUGUGCUUAAUGUUGCUCAUUUCAUAUCAAGUUCUUGGUUAUGUGAAAUACUUUAAUUUUUAAAAUGUUAUUAUAUCCUAGCUGUUUAAAAAGAUUGAGAAUGCCAUAAAGAGAGAGACUGGUUUAAGCAAACCAUAACUAGCUUUCAUAAUGCUGUAUGUGGUCAUUAAUCCAUCACUUUUGUGAGGAUGUCUGCAAUUUCUAGUAUACUUAGUGCUUUACAUUUCUUUUCUCAAGCUGACAGCAAUUCUUUUCAUUGGCCAAAGAUGCCACACUUUUACCAGUUAUAUUUAUAAAUACUACUUUAAAAAAUGAGUUCAAAGCAGUAACAUCACUUGAAAAUAGCAGGCAAGAGAAUAAAUUAUGCCAACCACUGUUAACCAGAAAUUCUGUGCCAGAGUCUUAAAAUAUAUUGUCUUCAUUUAGUCAAAUAAUGAUGAGUUGUGGAAGGCUGUGCCUAGAGCCAAUUUAACUGGUGAAUUAAGGUGUCGGCUCUGUCAAAAUUAGUCAACCAUCAUUGAAAAAUACUCAACUACAAACUACUUUAUGACAUGCAUACACUGUUUUUCAUGGGGGUGGGGGCAGUAGGGAGUAGAGAUACAAAAGAGCAUGAAUUAUAAUUCCUAUUCUCUAGAAUCUCAUUGAGGAGAUAAUGACAAAGACUCUCUUCUUUGACCAAACUUUAGUCAGAUUCUUCAGAGCUCCCUUUUUAACUAGACCCAAACUUAGGCUCUGUCCCUGGCUCAUUUAGUCCUGUUUUAGCAAAAAUACUACUGGGUUAGUUUAGUGCAGAUCCCCCACCCUUGAUAUCUGAUCAAAUUCCUUAUUCCCCACCCUGGAUAUCUUAUCAUCUUGGUCUGACUUCAGCAAGAAUCCUGUCAAGUCACUUUAGCUGGAAUGCCCAUAGGCCUGAUGUUUCCUCUUAGUAAUUUUCUAUCAAUCGCCCCACACCCUGGUUCAUGGCUAUAAAUGUCCACUUGGUACUUCUUGUGUUUGGAGUUAAGCUUAAUCUCAGUACCGUACUACAAAAUUCCACUGUAGUAGUCCCUCUGAAUGAAGUCUGCCUUACCAUCUUUAACAAGUGUCAUAAUAAUUUUUUCUUUAACAAUAAGACACACAGAUGUAAAAACAAAACUAUAAUAUAGGGUACUUUUUGCUAAGUGUCAACAGAACUACACAGAGAGUAUAAGUUAUGUAAUUGCGGCAAGCAGAUUACUUCGAAAUGGGGGAUUCGACCAAGCCUUGAUGAGGUAGAUGGGAUCGGAGCUAUGCAUGGUGAAAGCCUGGGUGAAGUUUUCAUGGGUAGAAAGUAAGAGAGAGGUUAUUCCCAAUGGGCAAGUAAACAGCUUAAAUUGAUUUACACAUUGUUUCUUUGGAAAUAUUAUUUCUGAGCUCAAAAUUCUUUAGCAUCUAACUUUAUAAAUGGUUAACAAAAAAAGGACAAAAGAAACAUGCAUAAGGUAGAAGAGGGUAGUCAAUAAUGGACGACCAUUCUAAGAAACAGUCUUUCUGCAGCUUACUCUUAGGCAUGUGGGUAUGAUAUGCUGGGUCAAAGGUGACUCUCAAGGGAUCAGUAAUAAUUAUAACAAAUGUGAUCAGGGUUUGUAUAAGAUCGGUCCUGAUCUUGUAAGGAAUGGUGAGUUGCUCCAAAGAUCUUAAUGUUCUAUUACUAUCUAGAUUUACAUUUUAUAAAAUAUGAAGACAUCCUAGACUGAAAGUAGAUGUCCCACAGUAGUUGCAAGCUAUGACUGUUUCAGUCCAGAGCUGUAUGUAUUCUUUGGGGACUUUUCCUAGGCCAGUGUCCACAUCUUCUGUAUUAGUUUCCUAGGUCUGCCGUAAUAAAUUACGACAGACUGGGUGACUUACAACAACCGAAAUGUAUUCUCUUGCAGCUCUGGAUACAAGAAUUCUGAAGUUAGAGUACAGGUAGGGUUGGUUCUUUUGAAGGUUCCGAUGGAGAAUUUGUUGCACUUCUCUCUCCUAGCUUUUUACAGUAGCCAUCAAUCCUUGGGAUUCCUUGGCAGCCACAUCACUCCAAUCUAUGCUUCCACAGUUACGUGGCAUUCUCCCUGUGUAUCUUUGUGUUCCACAUGGCCUACUUAUAAGGACACCAGUCAUUGGAUUUAGGGUGCACCCUAAUCCAGUAUGACCAUAUAUUAACUUGAUUACAUUUUCAAAGCCUCCAAUCACAAACAAGGUCCUAUUCACAAAUACUGGGGAUUAGGACUUAAACAUACCUUUUUGGGUGACAAUUCAACCCAUAACUCUUUCAUAGCCUAUUAUUAAAGUACUGUUUUCCUAAAUGGGGUUACAUAAUUCCAUCCCAAUGAUUCAUUUCCCAGAAUGUUUUUUUCCUUUUGAAACAAGCAAGUUCAUAUAAUAUCUACACCUAAUAAUCUGACUUUCAACUAAAAUGGGAUGUCUAAUUUCUAAUCGAGUUUAGUACAUAUUAGAGCUGUCUUCAAAAUCUACUUCACAUAGUGAAAGCAAGGUAGUACAGUCAAAGUUACAUUAGGCCCUGUGGGGAGAUUAAAAAAAUGAUAAAAAAAAAUUGGCUCCUACUCUCAUAUAGUUUACAGCCUUGAGAUUUCACAGCAUAGAAUGUUCGCAAUGGAAGGGAUCAUAAAGAUCAUCUAUUCUAAACCAUUCAUUUUACAGAUGAGGUCUUUGAGGCCCAGUGAGGUUAACUAAUUUGCCCAGGGCUCACAAAGUUAAUUGGGGAAAUAGAACAUGCAAGGGAAACAAAUGAAGGGCACAAUUUUAAAGAAAUCCAGCUACUCUUCUGCUUUUGUGUAUGAGGUACACAGUGAAUGCCGAUGAUGUGACAUAGAGAUUAGAUCGAAGUCUGGCAGUCAAGAGCAAUUUCUGGAGUAGGUGCCAAGGCUCUUCAUCUCUUUUGCUGUCAUCUCUGUAGCCUCUCAGAAAGCAAAAUAACUUCCUGACCUGACCUUUCUUUUCCUGGGGCAUGGGCUUAACUCAAGUUUCAGUUGUCUGGGGAAGCAACACCUUUAGAGUAGAAAGCACAAGGUUGUGCUGCUCUGCCUCUUGUAAUUCUCUGAUGAAGAUAAACUAAUGGUGGAGAAGUAGCCCCCAGGGUGGGUGGGGUCUGGAAGAAAGGAUUCAGGAGUUAUAGAUUUGCUAUAGAUAAGAGAACUGUGAUGCACAGUUCACUCUUUCCGGUUUCAAAAAGGAAAUAUGUAGUAUAACCGAUUUUGAAGGGGGAAAAAAAAGGGUAAAUUGCCUACUUCAAAGACAACCAAUUGCUGGAAUAGCUUUCAAGUCAGUUUGUAAGUCAAAGCUCUUCUUUCCUUUCUCCUUUCACAGAAAAUGUUUGAAAUAUCGAAAAAAUAAAAAAUAAAACACAAAAAACAAACAAACAAAAAAACCAAAAAACUACCAUUAAUGGAAUUAAAAACAACCAACCACUGGAGUUAAAGAACAAUGAGGUACCAUGGCCUUCUAUCAUAACCUAACUAAAGAUUUCAUAGAACAACAAAGAAACUGAAAAAAAUGGUAAGAAAUUAUAGGAAGAAACCAAGACUUUGCAUAUCUGUUUAUUUUUCAACUGGCAUUGAAUCAUCAUCAACUGAGCCUACUUUCUCUGAAUUAAUGGAACUAACAUUUAAUCUGACUUGCCUAAUAUGGGGAUAGGCUUACUUCUUUCUUAUAAAGUGUACAAGAUUUAAAAUUAAAGUAGAAAAGCAUCACUUUCCAAGCCUACUAUUUUGGGAUGCAGUGAACAAUUAACUAUGUUUCUACCAAUUUAUUCAAAAUUUCAUUCAAAAUAUUCUUUACAUAAUUACAUUUCUUAGAGCUAACUGUUUAAGAACUGCAAUUUCAAAUUAGGUGAUUUCAAGUACACCUAGAUGUGAAUUAACACAAAUUUUAGCAUCAUCAGCUUGAAAACAGAGCUUCAAAGAGACCAAGUAACAUGUUAUAGAUUAACAUAAACAAAUUUACAUAAUCAGAGAUUCAAAGACAUAGUAGAAUGUCACAUGUUCUUUGGAGUUUUGAAAAAGAAUAAAAUUUGACACAUAAUGCAUUAUAAGGAUCACCUCCGUGGAUGUCUAAGUAUGGAACAGAAUUUUUGGCUUUACUAGCAAGAAGAAUUACAAAUUGAAUGUGUUGAGUGUAUGCAUAUCACGCUUCUAUGGGGAUGAUUACACAAUUGUGACAAUAGCAAAAAACUAACUCUCAUGAAAUGAUCCUCCUUAUAAGAAACUUACAAUGCAAGCUAACUUUGGAAAACUCCGCAAAUGAAUUAGUAACUAGAAGAGUCACUCUUCCACUUAUUACUGACUUAUGCCUAGAGAGCUGAGUUUUUUGUCAUUUAUGAUACAGCUGAGAAGAAGAGCUCUUUAGUGUUUUUUUCAUUAGAAACUUCAUGAAGAUCUGUAAUUGGACAAGUACCCAUUACCUAGGCAUUAAAUCUAAAUUCUUUAGUAGUCCCCACACUUUACUUCAUUAGUCAAACACACACACACAAAUCAAUGCAAGAUUUCAAUAAGAAAUUUAUAGGGAAAUAUAAUUUCACAUGAUAGUUCGUCUCACUAUACUUCAAUUUAGUAAUUAUUUGAUUUACCUUCUGAAAACUGUAGAGCUGAUUCACGUGUAUAACUUUUUCUUUCUAAUACAAUAGACUAUUUAAACUAAAAAGGAUAUGUGUGUGUGUAUAUAUGUAUACACACACACACACACACACAUAUAUUUUUUUAGACGGAGUCUUGCUCUGUUACCC
rnacentral:lncRNA from 1 species